rnacentral:lncRNA from 1 species
CUCACACUGUUGAUUCCCCAUAGCUUCCAGAAGAAUCUUCCUCACUGAAUAGAGGCCAAAGUCCUUAGGUACUCAAGGCCUUCUGGGACUGGGCCAAAGCCUGCCUUUCUUACUGCAUCCCUCCCCAUGUCCCUUCAGUUCGCAUAUGUUCCUAUCAAAUGUGCCAUUUGCUUUUCUUUAUAAAUAGCCAUGACUUCCCGACACCUGCCUUUGCUCAUGUUCCAUUCUGUCUCCAUGCCUGGCUCCUUCCCUAACUCCCUCCCAGUCCACCCAUGUGGAGCCUCUCUCCUAGGCUUCUGCCAGGACUCCAUUUUUCUCUCUCUCUGAGGUAUAUCUUGCUGUCCUGACUUGCCUUCUCUACUGGGCUGUGAGUUUUCUGGACGGCAGGGACUUUUUAUUCUCUCCUCACCGUGUCUUGCAUGUCGUAGGCUCUCAAUAGACACAUGUGCCAUAGUUUAGAACAUGAGUGAGGCCUAACCGACCAGACGUCAGAUACUAAUGGGACUCAGACUUCAACUCGAUUUUGUCUGCUACAUGCAUGUUGGUGUGUGGACGUCUGAGCUUCUCCAUUAUGUUCACUGAGAAUUGCUGAACAUCUUCUUCCUUGGACUGUCGUCAUGAGACUGAGAUCAGCAGGAAGAAGACACGAAAGAAAAAUGGCAUGGACCUUCAUGUCCUUCAGAGUGACGGUGGGCUUGGGCCUUGCAAUGAGAACAAGUAUCACCCAGGAUGGAGAUCGGCCAGGGGCGGGGGUCAUGGGUGGGCUACAGGUACCUCCUACCACUGACAACAAGGAGGCAGAAUUUCCUUGGUCUAGACUAGAGUCUGGGUCAUGGGCAUGGCCGUGCUUGAGCUUCUGACCAGAAGCAGGUGGACAUGGAUUUGAGCUUCGUGUAAGAAUGGAGACUCCCCUCCAGGGACCAUAGGGGCUGGCAGCUGAAGAAGGUGACCUGGCCCCCGUCUAGAAGGUGAACACAGGGUAAACCCAAGCCCAUGAAGUGGAUGCAGCUGGGAAAAUCUGCCUGGUGCUUUCAAACCUCAACAUCAAACACUGCUCACACCUCAAACACUGCUCACACCAUGGUAAAAUCUAGUUGCAAAAUCUGUCCUGCAGCAGUUUUCUUUCCAGACGCUCAGGCCUCUCCUGGCAGCAGGCAGCUCUCCC